GGAUUAGAUACCCUGGUAGUCCACGCCGUAAACGAUGUCGACUAGCCGUUGGAGACCUUAGAGUCUUUAGUGGCGCAGCUAACGCACUAAGUCGACCGCCUGGGGAGUACGGCCGCAAGGUUAAAACUCAAAUGAAUUGACGGGGGCCCGCACAAGCGGGGGAGCAUGUGGUUUAAUUCGAUGCAACGCGAAGAACCUUACCGCCCCUUGACAUCCUGCGAACUUUCUAGAGAUAGAUUGGUGCCUUCGGGAACGCAGAGACAGGUGCUGCGUGGCUGUCGUCAGCUCGUGUCGUGAGAUGUUGGGUUAAGUCCCGUAACGAGCGCAACCCUUGUCCUUAGUUGCCAGCACGUAAUGGUGGGAACUCUAAGGGGACUGCCGGUGACAAACCGGA
rnacentral:rRNA from 1 species